UGGUUGAGUCAGGCUCACAGAGUUCACAGCACAGUCAUGAGGACUGCCACUCAGAUCCUGGGGUUGUUGCUAUUCUGGCUUACAGGUGCCAGAUGUGACAUCCAGAUGACCCAAUCUCCAGGUUCUCUGUCUGUAUCUCUGGGAGAAAGUGUCUCCAUCACAUGCCGGGCAAGUCAGAACAUUUACAGUAGUUUAGCAUGGUAUCAACAAAAACCAGGCAAUCCUCCUAACCUCCUGAUCUAUGGAGCAACCAGCUUGAAAGAUGGGGUCCCAUCCAGGUUCAGUGGCAGUGGAUCUGGCACACAGUAUUCUCUCAAGAUCAGUGGCAUGCAUUCUGAAGAUGUUGCAACUUACUUCUGCCUACAGGGCAGGAAUUUUCCUCCCACAGUGAUUCACUUCUUGACAUAAACCAUUCAAAGAAGC